GACAGAGGGUGCAAACGUUGCUCGGAAUCACUGGGCGUAAAGGGCGUGUAGGCGGGAAGGAAAGUCAGAUGUGAAAUCCCCAGGCUCAACCUGGGAACUGCAUUUGAAACUCCCUUUCUUGAGUACCGGAGAGGAAAGUGGAAUUCCUGGUGUAGAGGUGAAAUUCGUAGAUAUCAGGAGGAGCACCAGUGGCGAAGGCGGCUUUCUGGACGGUAACUGACGCUGAGACGCGAAAGCGUGGGGAGCAAACAGG
rnacentral:rRNA from 1 species